rnacentral:rRNA from 1 species
CAGCUGUAAACAAUGUGCGUUAGGUGUGUCGGUAACCACGUGUUACUGAUGCGCCGAAGAGAAAUCGUGAAACGCACCACCUGGGAAGUACGGUCGCAAGGCUGAAACUUAAAGGAAUUGGCGGGGGAGCACCACAACAGGUGGAGCCUGCGGUUUAAUUGGAUUCAACGCCGGACAUCUCACCGGAUAAGACAGCUGAAUGAUUGUCAAUCUGAAGGUUUUACAUGACUAGCUGAGAGGUGGUGCAUGGCGUCAGUGACU